AUACGGAGGAUGCGAGCGUUAUCCGGGUUUAUUGGGUUUAAAGGGUGCGUAGGCUGUGCGUUAAGUCAGGGGUGAAAUGCCGUCGCUCAACGACGGAGCUGCCCUUGAUACUGGCGUGCUGGAGUACGGAUGCCGUUGGAGGAAUGAGUGGUGUAGCGGUGAAAUGCUUAGAUAUCACUCAGAACACCGAUUGCGAAGGCAUCUGACGAAUCCGUCACUGACGCUGAGGCACGAAAGCGGGGGGAUAGAACAGGAUUAGAUACCCUGGUAUUCCACGCCGUAAACGAUGAUGACUAACCGUCGGCGAUAGACAGCCGGUGGCCAAGCGAAAGCGAUAAGGCAUCCACCUGGGGAGUACGGCGGCAACGAUGAAACUCAAAGGAAUUGACGGGG
rnacentral:rRNA from 1 species